UGGGGAAUCUUCCGCAAUGGACGAAAGUCUGACGGAGCAACGCCGCGUGUAUGAAGAAGGCCUUCGGGUUGUAAAAUACUGUUGUUGGGGAAGAACUUACUAUAUGUAAACAAUGUAUAGUAUUGACGGUACCCAACGAGGAAGCCCCGGCUAACUACGUGCCAGCAGCCGCGGUAAUACGUAGGGGGCAAGCGUUGUCCGGAAUCAUUGGGCGUAAAGGGCGCGUAGGCGGGCAUACAAGUCUGAUGUGAAAGUGCGGUGCUUAACGCCGUAAAGCAUUGGAAACUGUGUGUCUUGAGGACAGGAGAGGAAAGUGGAAUUCCACGUGUAGCGGUGAAAUGCGUAGAGAUGUGGAGGAACACCAGUGGCGAAGGCGACUUUCUGGACUGUAACUGACGCUGAGGCGCGAAAGCGUGGGGAGCGAACAGG
rnacentral:rRNA from 2 species